CCUGGCGACACGACUCGUCAAGAACAGCACAUCUCCUGCAGAAAAGCUGGCUGUCGGCCCCAGCCUCAUGGAGAGGCUGCAGGUGAGGGCCGGGUGCCRGCAGCACCUGCACCUGCACCCAGCUCCCCAGGGUGGGACCUCGCACGGGGAGCGGAAGGCAGCGAGCCCCCGGGGGGGGACGAGGUCUGGCCCCACGAGAAGGCGCCUCUGGAGACGGCCCCAGCAGGUAACCCGGGAGCGAGGAGCCGGAGCCCAGCAGGGGAGAAACCCCCCGGCAGAGCCCAGCCYGCAGGAGCAACGAUUCCACCCAGCCCCAGAAAGCGAAGGCAGCCGAGGGUCCCCCUCGGCAUCGCCCGCACCCCCCGGGCUGCCCCUCGCUCACCUCCGGACACCGGCAGCCACUCAAACCCUUUAUUCCAAACUUUGUUUCUAUUGCACUUGCGACCCUUGGUCCCCCCACCGCCGUGCCGCACGCAGAGGCUUGACGCCGGGGUGAGGGGCUGCAGCAGAAGCACCCUGCAGGGAAGGGGCGCAGGGUCCCCUCCGUGCACCGAGCCCAUCCCGGUGCAACACCGGGCUGCCCAUCACGGCGGGACAGGCGCAGCUGGAUGCUGGCACGGUGGAGCCAGGAGAGCCCCGGCGCGCACAGUGAGCCUGCAGACGGCCGGCCCUGGCUCAGRCCGGCGGCUUGACGCGCUGGCAGGUGAUGAGGUACUGCGGGUAGGCCUGGGUGUCGUUGAAGAUGACGAAGAUGCCCGGCUUCCUGGGGUUGUCCACGACGCUGUCGUACCGCAGCGGCGCCUCGGACGCCUCCUUGAGCGGCGGCGCCCGCAUGUCCUUCCUGCCGGCCGCGUAGUCGCCGGUCAGGGUCUUGGCCAUGAAGAUGUACUUGCUGCCAUCGGCGCUGCAGGGCGAGUACUUGUCCUGCACCGACAGCACGGCGUUCACCGCGAAGUACACGCCGAGCCCGUAGAGAGUGGCUGCGGGGCGGGAGGCCGGGAGCAGGUCAGCCGGAGGCGCCGGCACCAAACCUCUCCGUGGGGCGGGAGCGGAGCCAAAAGGGCCGGGGGAUGCUGGAGCGGAGCGGCGCUUCCUCCAGGCUCUUCCCCUGCGGGGACCGAGGGCCCGGGGCCCGUCGCCGGCACUCACCGUUCUUGCCGCAGAAGCUGCGGUUGA
rnacentral:lncRNA from 1 species